rnacentral:rRNA from 1 species
AACGACCGCUGGCGGCAGGCUUAACACAUGCAAGUCGAGCGCCCCGCAAGGGGAGCGGCAGACGGGUGAGUAACGCGUGGGAAUCUACCCAUCCCUACGGAACAACAGUUGGAAAAGACUGCCAAUACCGUAUACGCCCUUUGGGGGAAAGAUUUAUCGAGGAUGGAUGAGCCGGCGUUGGAUUAGCUAGUUGGUGGGGUAAUGGGCUACCAAGGCGACAAUCCAUAGCCGGUCUGAGAGGAUGAUCAGCCACAUUGGGAGUGGGACACGGCCCAAACUCCUACGGGAGGCAGCAGUGGGGAAUAUUGGACAAUGGGGGCGAGCCUGAUCCAGCUAUGGCGCGUGAGUAAUGAAGGCCCUGGGGUUGUAAAGCUCUUUCACCGGUGAAGAUAAUGACGGUAACCGGAGAAGAAGCCCCGGCUAACUUCGUGCCAGCCGCCGCGGUAAGAC